GCUUGUCUCAAAGAUUAAGCCAUGCAUGUCUAAGUAUAAGCAACCUUAUACAGCGAAACUGCGUACAGCUCAUUAUAUCAGCAAUUAUUUAUUUGAAGAUCACCUAUUACAUGGAUAACCGUGGUAAUUCUAGAGCUAAUACAUGCGCCCAGACCCAACUUUUAGGAAGGGUUGUAUUUAUUAGGUACAGAACCAAUGCAAGCUCCGCUUGACCUUUUGGUGAUUCAUGGUAACCGAACGAAUCGCACGGCACCAGCUGGCGAUGGACCAUUUCAGUUUCUGACCUAUCAGCUUCCGACGGUAGGAUAUGGGCCUACCGUGGCAAUGACGGGUAACGGAGAAUUAGGGUUCGAUUCCGGAGAGGGAGCCUGAGAAACGGCUACCACAUCUAAGGAAGGCAGCAGG
rnacentral:rRNA from 1 species